rnacentral:lncRNA from 1 species
AUAAAUGAUGAGUUACAGAAUAUAAAAGUAAAGGUAGAUGUUGUUGAGUGAUUCUAUGAACUCUUCCUUGCUCGCCACUGUCACAAAUCACAGAACCUAAGGUGGCAGUCUUUGCUAUAGAACCAAUGCAAGCGUCUGACCGGAUGGAUUCACAUGACUCUUCUUCCAACACUUUUGAGACAUUAUUCACGAGGAUAUUGAAGUCGUUGUCUUUGAUUUCUUUCAAUCUAGGCGCAUGCUUCAUACUCACAAUUAUACAUGGCUCAUGCCCAAA